rnacentral:rRNA from 1 species
GGUUUAAGCGUGUAGGUGUGUGUUCCAGGUAAAUCCGGUUCACUUUAACACUGAGGCGUGACGACGAGGCACUACGGUGCUGAAGCAACAAAUGCCCUGCUUCCAGGAAAAGCCUCUAAGCAUCAGGUAACACGAAAUCGUACCCCAAACCGACACAGGUGGUCAGGUAGAGAAUACCAAGGCGCUUGAGAGAACUCGGGUGAAGGAACUAGGCAAAAUGGUGCCGUAACUUCGGGAGAAGGCACGCUGACACGUAGGUGAAGUGAUUUACUCAUGGAGCUGAAGUCAGUCGAAGAUACCAGCUGGCUGCAACUGUUUAUUAAAAACACAGCACUGUGCAAACACGAAAGUGGACGUAUACGGUGUGACGCCUGCCCGGUGCCGGAAGGUUAAUUGAUGGGGUCAGCGUAAGCGAAGCUCCUGAUCGAAGCCCCGGUAAACGGCGGCCGUAACUAUAACGGUCCUAAGGUAGCGAAAUUCCUUGUCGGGUAAGUUCCGACCUGCACGAAUGGCGUAAUGAUGGCCAGGCUGUCUCCACCCGAGACUCAGUGAAAUUGAACUCGCUGUGAAGAUGCAGUGUACCCGCGGCAAGACGGAAAGACCCCGUGAACCUUUACUAUAGCUUGACACUGAACAUUGAGCCUUGAUGUGUAGGAUAGGUGGGAGGCUUUGAAGUGUGGACGCCAGUCUGCAUGGAGCCGACCUUGAAAUACCACCCUUUAAUGUUUGAUGUUCUAACGUGGACCCGUAAUCCGGGUUGCGGACAGUGUCUGGUGGGUAGUUUGACUGGGGCGGUCUCCUCCUAAAGAGUAACGGAGGAGCACGAAGGUUGGCUAAUCCUGGUCGGACAUCAGGAGGUUAGUGCAAUGGCAUAAGCCAGCUUGACUGCGAGCGUGACGGCGCGAGCAGGUGCGAAAGCAGGUCAUAGUGAUCCGGUGGUUCUGAAUGGAAGGGCCAUCGCUCAACGGAUAAAAGGUACUCCGGGGAUAACAGGCUGAUACCGCCCAAGAGUUCAUAUCGACGGCGGUGUUUGGCACCUCGAUGUCGGCUCAUCACAUCCUGGGGCUGAAGUAGGUCCCAAGGGUAUGGCUGUUCGCCAUUUAAAGUGGUACGCGAGCUGGGUUUAGAACGUCGUGAGACAGUUCGGUCCCUAUCUGCCGUGGGCGCUGGAGAACUGAGGGGGGCUGCUCCUAGUACGAGAGGACCGGAGUGGACGCAUCACUGGUGUUCGGGUUGUCAUGCCAAUGGCACUGCCCGGUAGCUAAAUGCGGAAGAGAUAAGUGCUGAAAGCAUCUAAGCACGAAACUUGCCCCGAGAUGAGUUCUCCCUGAGACUUA